rnacentral:pre_miRNA from 1 species
ACAACAUCUGGACCAUCGCGUCUGUCUACCGAGCAAUAUCACCCGUUCGGUGGAAGAUCUUUCCUUUCGUCGG